rnacentral:lncRNA from 1 species
AACGUUGGGCAGUACGAUAACCUCGUAGUCGCAUCAGUAACCAUUGUGAACGUAGGAGCCCAAAGCCUAUCGAUCAUUGAACUAUAGAGUGGAGUAAGGAGUAAGAAAGCGAUGUCUUAAGAAGCCUUCUGUCUAGCUCUGCACACGGUGGCUGCUGCAUUAAAGAAAGAAAAUAUUCAUUUUCUUUAUCAGUUAAGAUCUAGUAAGAAAAAGGGAAUUGCUUUAUCCCGCAAGUAAAGUAAGGAAGAUUCUGGCUUAGCUCAUUCACUCCUAAACAAGAGAAAGUUGGACAUUCGAUCACCUACUCCAUUGACAACGGAUUUCACUACCAUUCUCAUUUUCGGGCAACUUUCACGCUCUCCUUUGCCACUGCAUGACUAGAUCAGAUCACACAGAUAGACAAAAGACAACAAAAGAAGAUGAAAAUGGCGGG